AGAGGGUGCAAGCGUUAAUCGGGAAUUACUGGGGCGUAAAGCGCAUGUAGGCGGAUAUUUAAGUCGAUUGUGAAAUCCCCCGGGGCUCAACCUGGGAACUGCAGUCGAUACUGGAUGUCUAGAGUAUAGGAGAGGAAAGUGGAAUUCCCGGUGUAGCGGUGGAAUGCAUAGAUAUCGGGAGGAACAUCAGUGGCGAAGGCGACUUUCUGGCCUAAUACUGACGCUCAGAUGCGAAAGCGUGGGUAGCAAACAGGAUUAGAUACCCUGGUAGUCCACGCCGUAAACGAUGAGGACUAGGUGCGUGGGGGGCUUGACCCUUUAGUGCCGCAGCUAACGCAUUAAGUUCUCCGCCUGGGGAGUACGGCCGCAAGGACU
rnacentral:rRNA from 1 species